rnacentral:rRNA from 1 species
CCUACGGGUGGCAGCAGUGGGGAAUAUUGCACAAUGGGGGGAACCCUGAUGCAGCGACGCCGCGUGAGUGAAGAAGUAUUUCGGUAUGUAAAGCUCUAUCAGCAGGGAAGAAAAUGACGGUACCUGACUAAGAAGCCCCGGCUAACUACGUGCCAGCAGCCGCGGUAAUACGUAGGGGGCAAGCGUUAUCCGGAUUGACUGGGUGUAAAGGGAGCGCAGACGGCUGUGCAAGUCUGGAGUGAAAUGCCGCAGCUUAACUGCGGGACUGCUUUGGAAACUGGCGAACUAGAGUGCGGGAGGGGUAAGCGGAAUUCCUAGUGUAGCGGUGAAAUGCGUAGAUAUUAGGAGGAACACCGGUGGCGAAGGCGGCUUACUGGACCAUAACUGACGUUGAGGCUCGAAAGCGUGGGGAGCAAACAGGAUUAGAUACCCUAGUAGUC